CGUCUUUUAAAGAAGAACACAUUGCCUCGCAUCAAAAAGGAUGCCAUGUAAAAUAAUCUAGCAUAAACAAUUAUGGCGUACAAAUCAAAGUGAGGAGGUAGUGACGAAAAAUAACGAGACCGUUCUCUACGAGGCCGGUUAUCGGAAUGGGUACAAUUUAAACCCGUUAACGAGGAUCUAUGAGAGGGCAAGUCUGGUGCCAGCAGCCGCGGUAAUUCCAGCUCUCAAAGUAUAUAUCGUCGUUGCUGCGGUUAAAAAGCUCGUAGUUGGAUCUGCGCCUCAGGACUUGGUCCGCCCACUGGGCGAUUGUUGUUGCUAGUGAACAUGCUCGAGUCGACGAAGUAUGUACAAAUCUUAGCGGUGGAUCACUCGGUUCGUGGAUCGAUGAAGAACGCAGCUAGCUGCGAUAAAUAGUGCGAAUUGCAGACACAUUGAGCACUAAAAUUUCGAACGCACAUUGCGCCAUCGGGUUCAUUCCCGUUGGCACGUCUGGCUGAGGGUCACAAUAUUAUGGAGUAGGAUCGGCGCGCCUAUUUAUGGAAUGUGCUUAACGCGCAACGUUCUGGUGCAUUCUCUCGCAAGGUGCAUUCGGUGAGCUAUGGUGGUGUGGUAAUGGAUAUUGUGGAAUUAUACCGCGUACCUUGCCAAGCCAAUAUACGCACAAGAAAUCGCUGUCGUUUGCUCGUAAAGAGGCGAAAUUGGCCAUCGGUGUAUGUUGUGUUGCUUGACGAUACGGCCUCCAGCAAACGUUGUUUAUUGCUUGGUGGCAGCAGCGUUCAGGUUGGAGGUGACGUUAUCGGUCGCUUGAAGGAGGAAUGCAUGGCGAAUGGUUGAAAUGAGGUUUUUUUUUACCUCAGCUCAGUCGUGACCACCCGCUGAAUUUAAGCAUAUAACUAAGCGGAGGAAAAGAAACUAACGAGGAUUCCUCUAGUAACGGCGAGUGAACGGGGAAAAGCCUAGCGCUGGAUUCACUGGCCACUGGUCGCUUGGAACUGUAGCGUAUAGGUGCGGUUUUCCGUUUGUUUCGCGCACCCAAAGUCCCCUUGAGUGGACACUGGAGGAAUCAGCGUGCUGUAACCAUUGCCGAAAGGUAUUGGUAACCCGUUGAAAAUCCUCCGUGAUCGGGAUCGGGAAUUGCAAUUAUUUCCCUUGAACGAGGAAUUCCUAGUAAGUGUGAGUCAUCAGCUCACGUUGAUUACGUCCCUGCCCUUUGUACACACCGCCCGUCGCUGCCCGGGACUGAGCCGUUUCGAGAAAAGCGGGGACUGCUGUUUCGAGACCUUCCGAGGUGGAGAUUCUUUGGUGGAAACCGCCUUAAUCGCAGUGGCUUGAACCGGGCAAAAGUCGUAACAAGGUUUCCGUAGGUGAACCUGCGGAAGGAUCAUUA
rnacentral:ncRNA from 1 species